GCCCUUCAUUAUUGAGGUCGUGGAUCAUUGUGUGUUAAAAGUGUGUACAAUGUGGUUGAAAACUUGACUUCCUCUUCAUUUCUUUCUUGUCGUCACACAUGCAGGUGGAGGGAACUAGAUUUUAUAUUGAAGUGAUCAAGACAACAUGAAGAUCAUUCAGCUUCAGCUCUGUAAGUUUACAUAUUAUGAAUAUUUUUAACAUACAUUCACAAACUUUGCCAAUUUAAAACUUUUUUAAAUAAUGUUUUAUUUUUCACACAGUGGUAUUAAUCUGUUCUCAAGCUGCAGUGUCAGAUCUACUGACUGAUUCGGGAUCAAAUGUGAUCAUAAACUGUGAUCUUGAUGAAAAUGAUGUUUAUUGGAUUUUACUGAAAACAGCAGAUCCUCCAACAGUGAUUCUACGAUCAUUCUCAACACCAAAAUCACCUUUUUAUCAUAAUAAAACAUUCAGAAAGAAAUAUUCAGUGCAGUUUAAACAUCGUCUGGUUAUUAAUAAUGUGACUGUUGAUGAAUUAGGAGUUUAUUACUGUAUGAACACAGAAACACCUCUAAAACUCAGCAACAGCACCAGAAUAUACUUCAAUGAAUCAGUUCAACUAAGUGUCACUGAGUGUCCGAAUCAAACACAAUGGCAGAUUAUUAUUAUCAUAUCUGGUUUGAUGAACGGACUUCUUCUCAUUCUGCUGAUCGUUUUUGCUGCUAGAAAAGCAGAACGGUUGGAAAAACAUGUCUAUAAUGCUGAUCUGCAGACAAAAGUUACAUAUCGGCUUCAAGAUCCUAAACUUUUACCAGUACAAUAAGAACGCCGAGGUGGAGAACUAUUCAGCUGAAUAUUGAAUAUUUGAAUGAAAUGUAAUAUUUCCACCAUUACUGGUCAGUGAAAAAGAUACAGUUUAGGAGUUAGUUAUGCAUUAAGCAUCAUUGUCAGAUUCAUUGGUAUUCCUUUAUGAAGUAUGAUGUAAAUGUUUGAUCUGGUUCAUUCACAUUUAGACAUUAAAAUGUUUUGCAUGUAACAAUAAAUUAACUGAAAAAAGUCAAAGGCUGCUAGACCUUAUUAUAGUAAAUAGCAAUUUACCAAUGUACUUCUCCUUACUUUGUUAACUAUUUCAGAAACGAAAGCAUAUUUGUUUUAUAUAAUUUUUUAUAUAACAAAAAUGUGUUGUAUUCAGCCCUUGCACAAAACAACAACAAAAAAAAAAUAUUGUUUUCUUUGUUUUUGGCCUGUUAUCAUGUAUUCUAAUAAACAGACAACAAAAUUUUAGAUACUGAUUAAAAUUUGC